CUCAGUCAGUGGUCGGCAGCGAUCGGAUGGAACUCAUCAACCAACUCAACCAGCCAGCUCUACAGCUGGAUCUCCCAGUGGUAAAUAUAAUAAACCAGGAUAGUAAGUGUUCAUUCCUAUUGCCUUUGCUGACUGGGGGGUCCAACAACAACUCUCUUUGCUGACUUCAGGGUCCAAAAACAAUAACAAUUGUCAUUGCUGACUUCAGGGCGCUAACAUCAAUUCUCCCCGCCGACUUUCGGGUCCGAUAACACGAGGGAGCCGUUUACAGCCGGAGGAUCCAGACGCGAGAAGCUCCACCCACGGAUACCGUUUGCAAAUUACAUUUUUAGAUUCCGUCAGAAACUCGAGUUUCAAAGGCCGAGAAAAUCGUAUGCUUUGCGGAAAACGAUUGUUCCACAACACGUUGCAUAAUACAUGAUACAUCAUACAUCAUAAUCAGCCUUAGUUCGAAUUCGAACAAGGCGCGUGGGCGCGCCCAAACGAGCCACGGGCCACACUAAAUCGGGUAAAUCGAUAGCACAAGCAAAAUCGAUGGACCCAGCCAAUCCCUAUAUAAAGCGGGCGGCUGGCCUCUGGGAACUCAGUCAGUGGUCGGCAGCGAUCGGAUGGAACUCAUCAACCAACUCAACCAGCCAGCUCUACAGCUGGAUCUCCCAGUGGUCCAACAACAAUUCUCUUUGCUGAAUGGGGGGUCCAACAACAACUCUCUUUGCUGACUUCAGGGUCCAAAAACAAUAACAAUUGUCAUUGCUGACUUCAAGGCACUAACAUCAAUUCUCCCCGCCGACUUUCGGGUCCGAUAACAACACGAGGGAGCCGUUUACAGCCGGAGGAUCCAGACGCGAGAAGAUCCUCC